AAAAGUCAUAACUUCUCUGAGACUCAAUUUCUUUACCUGGGAAGGAGGAACAAUAAUGCAUAUGAUAUCUUGCUCACAAAAACUCAUUGGCAUCGGCAUCUCUGGAAGCAUAUGUCCACUCCAACUGAAACAAAGAAUCAUGUAGUUAGUUCAGGAGCACAAAGAAGAGCUCAACACUGAGAAGCUGUAGGAACUUCAAAGGCAGGAGCAACAGCUAGUGUCCCAGGACUUUUCUUCAGAUAAGGAGGAGGCAAAGGAGGAUUUCUCCACUUCAUUCAACAAGAAAAGAUUUUCUUAACUAGUCAUCUUGCUGUUCUUCCAAAUGCAAGAAACUUAUGUUACACAAGAGAAGAAUAAAUAAUAGCCCUUCCAGAAGACAAGUCCCACUGAACUUCUUUGCAACUCUUCUCAGGACUAAAUAAAUUGUUGUGCAAGAUUUGUUUGUCAGUUUGGGGCAAUUAUCUUAAUUUUUAAUCUAAAUUUUGUUUGUGCAACAGUUUACCUGAUCUUAUUCAAUUGUAAAUUGAAUUCUCUCUGAG